rnacentral:rRNA from 1 species
GACGAACGCUGGCGGCGUGCUUAACACAUGCAAGUCGAACGGAAAGGCCCUGCUUUUGUGGGGUGCUCGAGUGGCGAACGGGUGAGUAACACGUGAGUAACCUGCCCUUGACUUUGGGAUAACUUCAGGAAACUGGGGCUAAUACCGGAUAGGAGCUCCUGCUGCAUGGUGGGGGUUGGAAAGUUUCGGCGGUUGGGGAUGGACUCGCGGCUUAUCAGCUUGUUGGUGGGGUAGUGGCUUACCAAGGCUUUGACGGGUAGCCGGCCUGAGAGGGUGACCGGCCACAAUGGGACUGAGAUACGGCCCAGACUCCUACGGGAGGCAGCAGUGGGGAAUAUUGCGCAAUGGGCGGAAGCCUGAUGCAGCAACGCCGCGUGCGGGAUGACGGCCUUCGGGUUGUGAACCGCUUUCGCCUGUGACGAAGCGUGAGUGACGGUAAUGGGUAAAGAAGCACCGGCUAACUACGUG